CUUCUAAUUUUGAGACAGAUUGAACAAUUGGAAAGUAUGAUCAGCUUUAGAAAAUUAAAAUGGAAAAUUAUCAGAACGGAAGAAUGAACCAUUUUCAUCCAUGACUUCACAUGGACUGUUUGAGUAUAGAGCCAGGUGAAAUUGAAUUGUGAAUGAAAGUAUCUAGAAAUCCCAGAUGAGACUUUUAAAUCCAAGUAAGUUUGAAGCCACUUGAACUUUUCUAAGAUUCACUCCAGCAGCUUAUUUGCACUGAACACAGAAGUCUGAGGCAAGAAUGAGAAGAGACUAAAAUGCACCAUAGGUCUAAGCCAGAAGCUUUGAACUCAGGCAAGGAGAAAAGUAUCAUCUGCAGUGCAUCAGGGAAUGAGACCAGGAGUCUACUGUAAAUAGGCUCUCACUAAGAUCAGAGGAAUAAUGGUGAUAACCGGAUACUGCUUCUGUCAUAUCACAGUACGCUGUCACUCAUGUCCUCCCUUAAAACUAAUUAAUGGACCAUCCCAUAACAGUACGUGCUUCC
ensembl:lncRNA